UUUGAUGGCGACCGGCGCACGGGUGAGUAACACGUAUCCAACCUGCCGAUGACUCGGGGAUAGCCUUUCGAAAGAAAGAUUAAUACCCGGUGGCAUAGUUCUUCCGCAUGGUAGAACUAUUAAAGAAUUUCGGUCAUCGAUGGGGAUGCGUUCCAUUAGCUUGUUGGCGGGGUAACGGCCCACCAAGGCAUCGAUGGAUAGGGGUUCUGAGAGGAAGGUCCCCCACAUUGGAACUGAGACACGGUCCAAACUCCUACGGGAGGCAGCAG
rnacentral:rRNA from 1 species